rnacentral:rRNA from 1 species
AAAAAACUUAACGACUAACAAUUGGAGGGCAAGUCUGGUGCCAGCAGCCGCGGUAAUUCCAGCUCCAAGAGUGUAUAUUAAAGUUGUUGCGGUUAAAAAGCUCGUAGUUGAAUUUCUGAAAAUAAUCUUGUGAUUGAUUUAACCGUCAUGAACAAAAUUGUUUACAUACUUGAUAGAUGGAAACAUUUAUCUUAAUGACUUUGAAAAAAUUAGAGUGUUCAAAGCAUGAUUCACAUUUGAAUAAUACAGCAUGGGAUAAUAUAAUAUGACAUUAGUUAAAAUUUGUUGGUUUCUUUGGCUAAUGUAAUUAUUAAAAGGGGACAGUUGGAGUAAUUUAUAUUGGUGGGGAGGGGUGAAAUCCUAUGAUCCUUCCAAGAUAAACUAGUGCGAAAGCAUUUUACUAGGAUGUUUUCAUUAAUCAAGAACGAAAGUUAGGGGGAUCGAAGAUGAUCAGAUACCGUCGUAGUCGUCAACCAUAAAACUAUAGUCG